CUCCUCACUCCGCAGACCGCGAGCGACGCAUCCACCGAGAUCGUCCUCCUUGCACUACUCCACGCGGAUGGUCCUCACCGCCGACCAGAUCCGUCACCAGAUCCGUCGCCAGAUCCGCCGCCACUUGAUCCACAAGGAACAGCCAUGGUAGCAAGAUCUGUAGCGUGGCAUGUACGAACGCAGCAGCAGAUACAUCUAAUUUGUCAUUCUUUUACUACCGCACAUGCAGUUCCGGUUCCUUGAAGUUAACUUUGUUAACGGAGAAGUCAAUCCUUAGCAAUCAAGGGAUGCCAAAUGUGCGUUAGCGGG